GACACCCAUUCAUAUCGUCUAACGUGCAUGUACAACAUAACGUAGCUAACACAAGUGGAGUGAAUUUGUACACACAUAUUUUUAAGUGUGUGUGUGUGUGUGGGUGUGUUAUCAGGCCGUUAUUACAUGAUAAUAACUCAUUUAAGAACUUACUUAUUAGGAGGAUAUAUUUAAAAAUUGAAUUGGGACAAGGUAGGUAUACCAACAAGAACAGGCUAAAUCUGGUGGUUGUGACAGGAAACAAAAUGGCGUUUCAGUUCCAAAAAGAGGAAAAUAUGUAUAGGGAGGAUUUGAAUGAAGUUAAACUAGUUCAUGACAGAACAAUUCGAAUCAAUGUUGAGAUAAAAACGUAUCAAGGAUUGAAGUAUGGGAAAUAUACACUUACCAAACGUCAAGUACAUUAAAAUAUAUAGCAUAUGGACUGGCGGAAUCCGUUCUGACGAAGCUUAUUUGGAAUGAAAAGGAACAACAAUUUGCUAGACCUCAAAGAACAAAAUGCAUGUCAUUUAGUCGUGUACGAGCGACUUUAAUUGUCAAGUGUUUCAAGUGAAAAGAUGAAUGUGCGAGCAGAAAAAUACAGAAACAUGUA